CGAGACCACGGCCAGAUGAUGCCGAGUGGCGCUGACGCCUUUUCCCAGACGUUAUCCAUAUUUGCUCGAGUGACGGUGCAUCUGUUGUUCUUCUCAGAGUCAAAGUUUGACUCUGGUUCUUCUUGGAUGUGAUAUCGUUAACCGUCUAUCCCUAGUGCUCCGUGUUUAGUGUUCCAUUACAUUUCCAAAUAUCUACAUUACUGCACAUCAUUCGCUAAAAGAUGCUCCUUCGAAGGAUUCUUUGUGUCCUCAUCUCGUGGACGUUAAUGGGAGAAGUCACCGGAAAAGCACUUCCUACGGACACUGGCUUAACUCGAUCAGGAGAACCUGGCCCUAAAGACUUCCCCUCAAUAGGGACUGAGUUACUCAGUCCCGAACGCCCAAGUGGUCUGCCUCCUGUGGGCGCUGCGUUCAACGUCGAAUCGAGUGACUGCAUUAAAGCGUGUCAGACGAGGUCCCACGAUGGAAGUUGUGUUAUAGAUGACUCGUGCUGUUCUGAGACAUUCUCAGGAGAAACCUACCUGAAGUGUGUCAUUGGUUCAUGAACGGAUCUAUUGUUAGUAAUUUGCUUUAACAAGGUUUGUGCAGAUUUUUGCUGAGCCAGUUCAACUAUUGUCAUUUUCAUUUCACUUCUCGAUGUGGCAUCUCCUUUAAUUUGUACAAAGGUAUAGCCAGGUGUAAGAUAACCUUUAUUGAGAAAAAUAGUUUAAUAUUGGUUUUAUGAGAUAUAUUUAGUUAAAAAUCAAAGAGGCAACCAUAUGAUUAGGAAAUUAUAUUCUUCCAAGUAGCUUUUUUUCCUUAAUAUCUCAAACAUUGUUGGUCACGUUUUACUGUCAUCCAAAAGUCAAUUUCACAUAUAACCGAAUGGCAAGGAAAUAAAAGCAUUUCUGGAUGAAAGUCUAUGAUCUAUGGUUUGAAUCCGUUAUUUGUCUUAUUUCAAUAUGUCAAAAUUUAGUUUCAUCUAAUUUAACCGUUGGUCAUUUUCACUCUAAUAUUCUGCAGAGGAAGGCAAUUUUUUACUUCAAAAAUAAACUGUAUAAGUCUGUGAAGAUAGGUAAGAAAUGAAAGAGCACAAAGUUAA